rnacentral:rRNA from 1 species
GACGAACGCUGGCGGUGUGCUUAACACAUGCAAGUCGAACGGUAAGGCCCUUUCGGGGGUACACGAGUGGCGAACGGGUGAGUAACACGUGAGUAACCUGCCCUCAUCUCUGGGAUAACAGUCGGAAACGGUUGCUAAUACUGGAUAUGAGCUUGCAAGGCAUCUUUUGGGUUGGAAAGAUUUUUUUGGUUGGGGAUGGACUCGCGGCCUAUCAGCUUGUUGGUGAGGUAGUGGCUCACCAAGGCUUCGACGGGUAGCCGGCCUGAGAGGGCGAACGGCCAAAUUGGGAAUGAGAUACGGCCCAAACUCCUACGGGAGGCAGCAGUGGGGAAUAUUGCACAAUGGACGGAAGUCUGAUGCAGCAACGCCGCGUGCGGGAUGACGGCCUUCGGGUUGUAAACCGCUUUCAAUUGUGACGAAGCUUUUUGUGACGGUAGCAGUAGAAGAAGCACCGGCUAACUACGUG